rnacentral:rRNA from 1 species
UACGAAGGGGGCUAGCGUUGCUCGGAAUCACUGGGCGUAAAGCGCACGUAGGCGGAUUGUUAAGUCAGGGGUGAAAUCCUGGAGCUCAACUCCAGAACUGCCUUUGAUACUGGCGACCUUGAGUCCGGGAGAGGUGAGUGGAACUGCGAGUGUAGAGGUGAAAUUCGUAGAUAUUCGCAAAGAACACCAGUGGCGAAGGCGGCUCACUGGCCCGGUACUGACGCUGAGGUGCGAAAGCGUGGGGAGCAAACAGG